GUAUCAACCUGGCUCCGCGGGGCCCAAGACCAACCAGACCGGAAAUUCCAGGUCUCGCUGGCACCAGGCUCCCGGAUCACAAACGGAGCUAGCAGCUUCGGCCGUGGUGUCCCCACCCCCCACCUGGGGACACCGGGUUCGGGGCCAGGCCCAGGGGCACACAAGGCACGCCUGCUGCGGGUGGCCGCGGGGGCACCCUCACGGGGCCAGACGCGAGGCCUGCCGCCGCCCAGGAGCGGAGGCCAGGAAGGGCGGGAGUCGGGCCGUAAAAGGCCAGGCGGGCGGCGGCCGAAGAGGAGCCGGUUCCUAGCAAGUGAGGGUCGGCCCGGAGGGCGGGCGGGGCCGGGGGCUCCUCCCUGCCCGCCGCUGCCGCCUCCCUCCCCUGCGCCCUCCCUGCGCAGCGCCGGCCAGUGCCAAAGAACAACGUGUCACUUCCCGGCGGCCGGGCCGCAAAGGGGGGAGGGGGCGGUGGGCCGGGAGCCGCGGUGCUUGCGCCUGCGGGGCCCCCUCGGGUCAGGCCGAGGUGGCACUUCGCGGCCGGCAAACCCGGCACCCUACCAUCCCGCGGGGGCCGCAUAUUCCGACCCCGCGCUCCCCCACCCCCACCCAGCAGCCAGGCCGGGCCAGGCCGGGCACACGUGGGCCAGGGAUCGGGCCCUGGCGGGCCGGGGCCCGGGCUUGGGCCGCGGGGCCAGGGCGCCGGGGCGGCUGCGCAGGGUGGCCGGUCCCGGCCCGGAUGGCGGCGGAUGCGGGGGGAGGGGGUGGGGGGGCCGGGUCGGGCCCGGACAUGGCGGCUUUACCUUCAGUCUCCUUCAGUCCGCGCGGCCGAGCCCCACGCAGCCGCACAGACGUAGUCCACAACCAUUUCCGGCUCCCCGCACAGAUCCCGCUCGGCGGCCACCGCUUCUCCGCAGGCGCAGCCGGCGCCCCCACGUGACCGGCGCAGAGGGCGGAGCUGCGCCCGGUGCCGCGGAGUACAGAAGAUUUGCCCCGCCUCGUCAUGUGAUAGUCACUGCCCGCCCCCGUGUCCCCUCCCGAACUUUGGAACUUCCAGACCGACCCCCCUCUGCGUCUCUGUUCCGCGGUUCUUUAGUUCAUUCAUUCUUUGAACAAGCAUUUAUUGAGUGCAUACUAAGUACUAGGCGAGUGCUGGCGGCGGCGCGGGGCGGGGGGGCGUGCUGA
ensembl:lncRNA